rnacentral:rRNA from 1 species
GGAUAGCGGAGAAAUUCCAAUCGAACUCGGAGAUAGCUGGUUCUCCUCGAAAUAGUUUUAGGACUAGCCUUGUUUCGUAGCAUUUGGGGGUAGAGCACUGAAUGAGGUAGGGGCCAACACGGUUACUGAACUCUAUCAAACUACGAAUACCAAAUGUGUAAGAACAAGAGUCAGACUGCGGGAGCUAAGUUCCGUGGUCAAAAGGGAAAGAGCCCAGAUCGUCAAUUAAGGUCCCAAAGAUAUAGUUAAGUGGAAAACGAUGUGAUUUUGCGUAAACAACCAGGAUGUUGGCUUAGAAGCAGCCAUUCAUUCAAAGAGUGCGUAAUAGCUCACUGGUCGAGUGAUUGUGCGCCGAAAAUGUAACGGGGCUAAACUUGACACCGAAGUCUAGGCAGAAGGAAACUUCUGGGUAGGGGAGCAACGUGUACGGGCAGAAGCAGAAGCGGAAGCGACUGUGGACUGUACAGGAGAGAGAAUGCCGGCAUGAGUAGCGAGAGCAAAGUGAGAAUCUUUGCCGUCGAAAGCCUAAGGUUUCCUGAGGAAGGCUCGUCCUCUCAGGGUAAGUCGGGACCUAAGCCGAGGACAAUAGUCGUAGGCGAUGGACAAUCGGUUAAUAUUCCGAUACCGCCGAGCAACCGGAUGCAGUGACACAGAAGGAUAGGCAGAGCGUGGCGAUGGUAGACCACGUCCAAGCAGUGAGGCUGUUGUGUAGUGAAGUACGCACAACGGAAGGCUGGGCUGUGAUGGGGAACGAUUACGAUCGGUAAGCUGCUGAAUUCACGCUGGCGAGAAAAGCUGCUACGAAGCGAAGGCGCCCGUACCGCAAACCGACACAGGUAGGCGAGGAGAGAAUCCUAAGACGAGCGGGAGAACCCUUGUUAAGGAACUCGGCAAAAUGACUCCGUAACUUAGGGAGAAGGAGUGCCCAGGAAUGGGCCGCAGAGAAUAGACCCAAGCGACUGUUUACCAAAAACACAGGUCUGUGCGAAGUAGAGAUACGACGUAUACGGGCUGACACCUGCCCAGUGCCGGAAGGUUAAGGGGAAAUGUUAGGGCAACCGAAGCAUGGAACUUAAGCCCCGGUGAACGGCGGCCGUAACUAUAACGGUCCUAAGGUAGCGAAAUUCCUUGUCGGGUAAG